rnacentral:lncRNA from 1 species
GUCUGCAGGUCUUUUAUUUCUUAAUAUACUACAUGGUAACUAAUUAAAACAACACACAUGACCCCUAAUCAUUUGUUUACACGUGAAUUCAUUCUGUGAUCUUAUCAUAGAAAAAUCUAAUACAUCAGUCAUAAAAGCAUUAUUGGAUUAACAAAUAGUACAAUUUUACACACAAAAAAAUUGACGUGCAAAUAACUAUUUCACAUAUGCCUCACUUUGUGACUCCUUCAAGACGAGACAAAAAAUGGCUACAUCCUAAACAGUUUGAAU